GACGAACGCUGGCGGCGUGCUUAACACAUGCAAGUCGAACGGAAAAGCGCUGCUUUUUUGGGGUGCUAGAGUUGAGAAGGGGAGAGUUGCCUGUGAGUUACCUGGCCUGGACUUUGGGAUAACUUAAGCAAACUGGGGCUAAUGCAGGAUGGGAGCUCCUGCUGCUUGGUGGUGGUUGGAAUGUUUCGGCGGUUGGGGAUGGAGUGUCGGCUUAUCAGCUUGUUGGUUGGGUGGUGGCUUACCAUGGCUUUGGCGGGUAGCCGGCCUGAGAGGGUGACCGGCCACAUUGGGACUGAGAUACGGCCCAGACGCCUACAGUAGGCAGCAGUGGGGAAUAUUGUACAAUGGUCAGAAGCCUGAUGCAACAGCGCCGCGUGCGGUAUGAAGGCCUUCGGGUUGUAAAGCGCUGUCGCCUGUUACGUAGCUUGAUUGACGUUAAUUGGAAAAGAAGCACCGGCUAACUACGUG
rnacentral:rRNA from 1 species